GGUUCAUAAUUAUUCAUUAAAUUUCUUACUACAUGCAAUGCACAUGUGGAGACCUAGAAAGCUUUUGAUCAUAAGCUGAGACAUGAAGCAGUUUGGAUAUGUCAUGAUUGAUGAAGCUAAAUUUUAAAGACUAUUUGGUCUCUAUUAAUUCUCAUAAUUUACCACAUCUCAACAUCGAGCCACUUAAAGUUACAACAGUUUUGUUGGAUCUUCCCGGGAUUGUGUCUCAUGCAUGCAAAGUAAAUCAUGAGUCAACUGAGUUGAAUUGGGAUCCAAUCAUAAAAUCAACAUAUGAGUUGGUACAAGUUAAAAGAGUGUGAACCUAAUUUUAGAACAAGUUUUUCCAUUCACAAGGGCCACAUAUGUUAUAGCUUCAAUUUAGUACAAACCAAUCGGAUAUAUUGCCACCUUCUGAGCCUUUUUAUCAUUCCAAACAUUGGUUUCCAUCAUGUGGUCCAACUCCACAUGUC
rnacentral:lncRNA from 1 species